rnacentral:rRNA from 18 species
CCGGGAUGGACAUACCUCUGGUGUACCAGUUGUCGUGCCAACGGCAUAGCUGGGUAGCUAUGUGUGGACGGGAUAAGUGCUGAAAGCAUCUAAGCAUGAAGCCCCCCUCAAGAUGAGAUUUCCCAACUUCGGUUAUAAGAUCCCUCAAAGAUGAUGAGGUUAAUAGGUUCGAGGUGGAAGCAUGGUGACAUGUGGAGCUGACGAAUACUAAUCGAUCGAAGACUUAA